rnacentral:rRNA from 1 species
AUUGAACGCUGGCGGCAGGCCUAACACAUGCAAGUCGAGCGGAGCGGCGGACGGGUGAUUAAUGCCUAGGAAUCUGCCUGGUAGUGGGGGAUAACGUCCGGAAACGGGCGCUAAUACCGCAUACUCUCAGAUGAGCCUAGGUCGGAUUAGCUAGUUGGUGGGGUAAAGGCCUACCAAGCAGUCGCUCCGUAACGGGUCUGAGAGGAUGAUCAGUCACACUGGACCGGAGCCACGGUCCGGAUGCCUACGGGAGGCAGCAGUGGGUAAUAUUGGACAAUGGGCGAAAGCCUGAUCCAGCCAUGCGGAGGGUGUGAAGAAGGUUUUCGGAUUGUAAAGCGCUGUAAGUUGGGAGGCGUUACCAACAGAAUAAGCACCGGCUAACUGCGUGCCAGCCGCCGCGGUAAUUC